UACGGGGGGGGCAAGCGUUGUUCGGAAUUACUGGGCGUAAAGGGGUAGUAGGCGGCCAACUAAGUCCGACGUGAAAUCCCAAGGCUUAACCUUGGAACUGCGUCGGAUACUUGAUGGCUUGAAUUCGGGAGAGGGAUGCAGAAUUCCAGGUGUAGCGGUGAAAUGCGUAGAUAUCUGAAGGAACAUCAGUGGCGAAAGCGACUUCCUGGACCAAUACUGACGCUCAUGUGCGAAAGCGUGGGGAGCAAACAGG
rnacentral:rRNA from 1 species